AUACUUGUGCUCCUAUCUUCCUGUGUAAAUGAUUUCACGUUGUACUUUAGGGGCCAUUCUCCUCCCAACACCAGUGAUUCAUACCAAAAAUUUGUCUUGAUACACGCUAAACCCAGAAAGCAAAUUUGAAGGAUAACUCUUAUAGACUUAUGAUAAACUAGGGUUGUGGCAGGACCAUGGAAUUGGCUGUUUUUAUUUACUUAUUUAUUGGAGUUAGUGUAAUGAAAACCUGCACUUGGUUGAAGUGUUCUAAUGCAUGACAAGUGGCACUUCCACUGCUGCAGGCUCAAUGAGUCUUCUUCAGAAGAUGUGCCCAUGAGCAGUUGCAUUAGAUCGAAUAAGAGAGCAGCAUAUCAUUGUAUAGGAAUUGGAAUGAAUGAAGCAGAGAAGAUAUCUGAUAAUGGAUUUGAAAGCAGAUGAAAGACUUUUCAGCAUCUGCAGCUGAAGUGGAAGCACGAGGGAUCUGCCUGGCUCAGAUCUCCCCUGAUCAUUUUGCUGAAGAAGGUCACAAUUCUGAUGGUGUCUGGACUGUGCUAGUCACCUCUUGCAAACAUUUAUCUAAACUUCCAUCACUGAAAGCUAAGCUACAGACUGAAACUUUUUAUAUGACUGUGUAAGAAAGAGCAUGGAUCCAGGACACCACAUCUCUUGGUACAUGGGAAAUAUUGAAAGGUGUGUAGGCUGUUGUGGGCUUGUCUACCGGAACGACUGGCCUUCAAUAGCUAUCACCAGUGCAUGAAGCUGCUGUGGUGAUGAUGGCAGGAUCAUUUCCAGGAAAUCUCUCUUCUCAGGCGGUCUACUCCAAAUGUGUUGUCAAGAGAAGGCUGUCAAGUUACUCCUGAAAGCUUAAAGGCAUUCCUUUGAGAACUGGAGGGACAAGGGGACAAAUGAUGAUGGUAUGUCCUUUCUUUGAUGGCAGUUUAAAUUCUGUAGCAUUAUUCCAUGGCAAGUGCUAUGGCCGAGGAAAUGUUUACUGGCACUAAUGCUCUCUUAAGUUGUGAUGAGCAGCCUUAUUGCUUGUGCUGUUGCCAUGUGGGAGCUCAUGGCUCAGCAGGGCUGGACCUAUUCAGACCCUGUAUGUUUGCUGAGGUGCUGUA